GCGCUUGUAGUUCAACGGAUAGAAUACGACUCUCCGAAGGUCGUGAUUUGAGUUCGAUUCUCAACAGGCGUA
rnacentral:tRNA from 1 species